GACGAACGCUGGCGGCGUGCCUAAUACAUGCAAGUUGAGCGAUGAAGAUUGGUGCUUGCACCAAUUUGAAGAGCAGCGAACGGGUGAGUAACGCGUGGGGAAUCUGCCUUUGAGCGGGGGACAACAUUUGGAAACGAAUGCUAAUACCGCAUAACAACUUUAAACAUAAGUUUUAAGUUUGAAAGAUGCAAUUGCAUCACUCAAAGAUGAUCCCGCGUCGUAUUAGCGAGUUGGUGGGGUAAAGGCUCACCAAGGCGAUGCUGGGUAGCCGACCUGAGAGGGGGAGAGGCCACAAGGGGACUGAGAUACGGCCAAGACUGUGAGGGGAGGAAGCAGUGGGGAAUAUUGAAAAAUGGGGGGAAGGCUGAUGGAGGAACGCCGCGUGCGGGAUAACGGACGGCGGGUUGUAAACCGAGUGCGCCUGUGACGAAGCGGGAGUGACGGGAAUGGGUAAAGAAGAACCGGCUAACUACGUG
rnacentral:rRNA from 1 species